rnacentral:rRNA from 1 species
CCCUUAGAUGAUUUGGGCUGCACGCGCGCUACACUGACCCUAACAAUGAGCAACUGUCUGGCCUGAGAUGGCUGGGUAGCCUUUUCAACCCAUGUCAUGAUUGGGCUAGAUUUUUGUAAGUCUUGAUCUCUAACGAGGAAUCCCUAGUAUGCGUGAAUCAUCAAUCCAUGCAGAUUAUGUCCCUGCCCUUUGUACACACCGCCCGUCGCUACUACCGAUUGGGAAAAUUUUAGAGAGUCCUGGACUGAUGAUUGUUCGGCUUCACGGCCUUACUUUCGUCGGGAAAGAAUUCGAUAAUAUUUUUCUAGAGGAAGUAAAAGUCGUAACA